AUGCGAUCUUUGAUGGUAGUAAAAGGAAGAAAAGCUCAAAUUUAAAAUCUGGCGGUCUUUGGCCGUCCGAGUUGUAGUCUGGAAAAGUGCUUUCCGCCCUGGACCGUGUAUAAGUCUCUUGGAACAAAGCGUCAUAAAGGGUGAAAAUCCCGUCUUUGACACGGACUACCAGUGCUUUGUGAUGCGCUCUCAAAGAGUCGAGUUGUUUGGGAAUGCAGCUCAAAAUGGGUGGUGAAUUCCAUCUAAAGCUAAAUAUUGGCGAGAGACCGAUAGCGAACAAGUACCGUGAGGGAAAGAUGAAAAGCACUUUGGAAAGAGAGUUAAACAGUACGUGAAAUUGCUGAAAGGGAAACGCUUGAAGUCAGUCCCGUUACCCGGAACUCCCCCUUGCUUUCCCUUGGUGCCCUUUCCGGUUGACGGGCCCCCCUCCAUUUUGACCGUCGGAUAAGGGCUAAAAUAA
rnacentral:rRNA from 1 species